GCGGGAUUAGUUCACUGGUAGAAUGGCUCCUUCCCAAGGAGCAGAAGCGGGUUCGAUUCCCGUAUCCCGCU
rnacentral:tRNA from 1 species